GACGAACGCUGGCGGCGUGCUUAACACAUGCAAGUCGAACGGAAAGGCCCUGCUUUUGUGGGGUGCUCGAGUGGCGAACGGGUGAGUAACACGUGAGUAACCUGCCCUUGACUUUGGGAUAACUUCAGGAAACUGGGGCUAAUACCGGAUAGGAGCUCCUGCUGCAUGGUGGGGGUUGGAAAGUUUCGGCGGUUGGGGAUGGACUCGCGGCUUAUCAGCUUGUUGGUGGGGUAGUGGCUUACCAAGGCUUUGACGGGUAGCCGGCCUGAGAGGGUGACCGGCCACAUUGGGACUGAGAUACGGACCAGACUCCUACGGGAGGCAGCAGUGGGGAAUAUUGCACAAUGGGCGGAAGUCUGAUGCAGCAACGCCGCGUGCGGGAUGACGGCCUUCGGGUUGUAAACCGCUUUCGCCUGUGACGAAGCGUGAGUGACGGUAAUGGGUAAAGAAGCACCGGCUAACUACGUG
rnacentral:rRNA from 1 species